GUGCCUACAUUGAAGUGGCAGCCCUGGGACAGUGGCAGCAAUUGGGUGACCAGCAGAGGGGGUCAGACUGCAGGAAAUCUCAUGAGGAUGUGGCUUUUUGAGGUAUUUUAAGAAUGCAGACUGGAAGCACUGCUGCUGCUCUUUGCUUCACCUUAAUGAGGCUCCGUGGAGACCACGAGAAGAUGGAAGGAAAUAAAGAUUCCUGACAAAAGGAAUGUAAAUAGACAAGAUGCAGGUGAACAAAGGAGAAGGAAAGCCAUGUAGAAGCCAGCAACUGAGUGUUUAUUCUCGAACUAUGCCUAGAAAUUGUGCCUUGUUACUGUUGCUUCAUACUAGUGGUUUUUUUAUAAGUCUGGCAAAAUGAGGACGUUCAAAACUUUCCUGCAAGCUCUUAAAAGAAGAAAUCUUCUAAGAAUACUCAGAGUUUCAAUCCUGGCAUGUAUUUUGGAAGAGAUAAUAAAUCAUAUUUCUCGGUGAACUUUCCUAGACAACCCCUAAGCAUGCAAUUCUUGCACUUUUACAUGCAGCCUAAUGGGAGACAGAAGAUAGACUAGCUGCAUCGCUGCUGGAUCCUGAGUGAAUUUUAAUCCCAGUAAA